rnacentral:rRNA from 1 species
UACGGAGGGUGCGAGCGUUAUCCGGAUUCACUGGGUUUAAAGGGUGCGUAGGUGGGCUUGUAAGUCAGUGGUGAAAUCUCCGGGCUUAACCUGGAAACUGCCAUUGAUACUACAGGUCUUGAAUUUUCUGGAGGUAAGCGGAAUAUGUCAUGUAGCGGUGAAAAUGCUUAGAUAUGACAUAGAACACCAAUUGCGAAAGGCAGCUUGCUACAGGAAUAUUGACACUGAGGCACGAAAGCGUGGGGAGUCAAACAGGA